CDSAUACAUGCAAGUCGAACGCGUUGGCCCAAUUGAUUGAUGGUGCUUGCACCUGAUUGAUUUUGGUCGCCAACGAGUGGCGGACGGGUGAGUAACACGUAGGUAACCUGCCCAGAAGCGGGGGACAACAUUUGGAAACAGAUGCUAAUACCGCAUAACAACGUUGUUCGCAUGAACAACGCUUAAAAGAUGGCUUCUCGCUAUCACUUCUGGAUGGACCUGCGGUGCAUUAGCUUGUUGGUGGGGUAAUGGCCUACCAAGGCGAUGAUGCAUAGCCGAGUUGAGAGACUGAUCGGCCACAAUGGGACUGAGACACGGCCCAUACUCCUACGGGAGGCAGCAGUAGGGAAUCUUCCACAAUGGGCGCAAGCCUGAUGGAGCAACACCGCGUGAGUGAAGAAGGGUUUCGGCUCGUAAAGCUCUGUUGUUAAAGAAGAACACGUAUGAGAGUAACUGUUCAUACGUUGACGGUAUUUAACCAGAAAGUCACGGCUAACUACGUGCCAGCAGCCGCGGUAAUACGUAGGUGGCAAGCGUUAUCCGGAUUUAUUGGGCGUAAAGAGAGUGCAGGCGGUUUUCUAAGUCUGAUGUGAAAGCCUUCGGCUUAACCGGAGAAGUGCAUCGGAAACUGGAUAACUUGAGUGCAGAAGAGGGUAGUGGAACUCCAUGUGUAGCGGUGGAAUGCGUAGAUAUAUGGAAGAACACCAGUGGCGAAGGCGGCUACCUGGUCUGCAACUGACGCUGAGACUCGAAAGCAUGGGUAGCGAACAGGAUUAGAUACCCUGGUAGUCCAUGCCGUAAACGAUGAGUGCUAGGUGUUGGAGGGUUUCCGCCCUUCAGUGCCGGAGCUAACGCAUUAAGCACUCCGCCUGGGGAGUACGACCGCA
rnacentral:rRNA from 1 species